rnacentral:lncRNA from 1 species
CUCCUUGCCGCGCAAUCUCUUCAUGAUACAAGCUAUGCCAGCAUUGGUUCCAGUCAUUACAGCAAAAUUGCGUGCUUGUAUUAAGGGUCCGCCAGCUAAAGCGUGUACAUGACGCAUAUCGUUUGUUAAACAUUAGCAAAAUCUCUUAAUGGAUUCAGCAGCCACAAUUAAUUCAGGCCAUUGUGUAGGGUACAGAAUCAAUCUAGUUCUGUACAUUGACUACAAACACAAAUCCAAUGAUAAACCAAUUCUGAAGGAUUUUUUUUUUCCUCUCCACUGCAUUCUCCCUUGGAAUACUUAAACGCGUUUCAAGAAAAAGCAUGUGAGACAUAAAACUCAUCUGGAUCAAGCAAAGAUUCACCCUUUUUCGAUAUUAGGAGCAAAAACUACUUGGUGGAUUAUGCAAAAGGGAUCCUCGUCAACCUAGUAUUCCAAUUUCCAAGCUCAUACAACAUUAUAACAAAUAGAGGAGGGGGGGGGGGGGGGCGCUCCUUUGCCAAAAUAUAAGAAUUAUGAAGCAAAUAUUAUAAGCCGCUCUGCAAUCACGUUGAGGAGAGCGUUCGGACAAUUUAAGUCUGAUACAGCUAGGAGUGAAACUCUAAUUUAUUAUGAGUUAUAUAAAUUAAAUUGUCCGAACGCUCUCCUCAAUAACUAGAUGAUGAAACUAGCUAGUCCUAUGUUAUCUGAGGAAAAAAGAUUAUCAGUCAGGCAAAUCAAAAUCUCUUUACGUUAUUCAUUUCGGGUAAUUGAUCUUCUCCAAUUUCAAAGCAGAGCAAUUCAAAUGAAAAAAAAAAGUUGAACCCUUUUGCCGUAAUACUAACAGAAAGAGAUUACUUGGGCUUGCUUGAGAGAGGCCAUGGCUUGAGGGUUGAGAGAGGCCUGAGGAGGGGGGGUUGGCAUAGAGGAAGAGAUGUCAGGGGUGAGGGUACCCAUGACGGCUCCGAUGGCAGCGCCCUGAACACCGCCGGUGGCAGUGACAAUGGCGGCCUCGACAGGCAAAGAUUGCUUGGACAACCAAGACUUGAAGCCAUCCUCCAAUUCCUUGAACUUGAACUGAACGAACUUAAUUGGGUCUUGAUUGGGAAACAGUUUGGCCACCAUCACUCCUUGUUUACCCUGCUGCUGCUCCAUUUCUUUACUUUUCCGUUACGCUUUCCCCUGUUUGCUGCCGCCACGCCGUUGCUGCUGCUGCUUCGAGCUACUAUGUGGAUACUGGAUAGAUAUAUGUAGGAGAGGAGAGAUCGUUUG